GGGCCCCUAGGUUCGACUAGCAUGCGAGUCGAUGUAGCAAUACAUGGCGUACUGCUCAGUAACACGUGGACAACCUACCCUUGGGUCGGGGAUAAACCCGGGAAACUGGGUAUAAUACCCGAUAGUCCUCGAAUGCUGGAAUGCAUCGAGUUCGAAAACUCCGGUGCCCAAGGAUGGGUCUGCGGCCUAUCAGGUAGUAGUGGGUGUAGCGUACCUACUAGCCUACGACGGGUACGGGUUGUGAGAGCAAGAGCCCGGAGAUGGAUUCUGAGACACGAAUCCAGGCCCUACGGGGUGCAGCAGGCGCGAAAACUUUACAAUGCCGGCAACGGCGAUAAGGGAACCUCGAGUGCCAGGUUACAAAUCUGGCUGUCGUGAUGCCUAAAAAGCAUUGCAUAGCAAGGGCCGGGCAAGACCGGUGCCAGCCGCCGCGGUAACACCGGCGGCUCGAGUGGUAACCGUUAUUAUUGGGUCUAAAGGGUCUGUAGCCGGCCGGAUAAGUCUCUUGGGAAAUCUGGCAGCUUAACUGUCAGGCUUUCAGGAGAUACUGUCUGGCUCGAGGCCGGGAGAGGUGAGAGGUACUUCAGGGGUAGGGGUGAAAUCUUGUAAUCCUUGAAGGACCACCAGUGGCGUAGGCGUCUCACCAGAACGGGCCUGACGGCAAGGGACGAAAGCUAGGGGCACGAACCGGAUUAGAUACCCGGGUAGUCCUAGCCGUAAACGAUACUCGCUAGGUGUCGGCCACGGUGCGACCGUGGUCGGUGCCGUAGGGAAGCCGUGAAGCGAGCCACCUGGGAAGUACGGCCGCAAGGCUGAAACUUAAAGGAAUUGGCGGGGGAGCACCACAACGGGUGGAGCUUGCGGUUUAAUUGGAUUCAACGCCGGG
rnacentral:rRNA from 1 species